GUUUUUGAGAGCCAAGCAAUGACAAUUCAAUCCUGGGACAGAAAACGAAAAAAGAAUCAGUAUUAAAACAACCAAAGGAAAGCACAAGCUGCUAGUGGCCACCUGACCACACUGAGGGAAGAAGCUGCCUGAGAACAAAGCCAACAUGAGGAAGCAGGACCGGGAUCGAGAGAGCCAAUCCCAGUGAUACUGGAUCUUGCCUAACGUAUUGCCGAGACUUUACAGUUGCGAAAAAAGAAAAAAGGGAAUCCCCUUCAGAGAUUUCUGAGGAAAAGUUAGAUGAGAAAUCCAAGGCAAUUCCUGCAAUUUGUACGGAAUCAUUGGCAGUACUGGAGCAGAGAGAGACUGUGAGAGACGGAGAGCUGAGAGGACUUGGGGACCAGAGGAAGUUUGUGGUUAUGCUUCAUUUGAACAGGAAAAUUGUACAAAGAUACUCCAUUAGGUUCUGGAGAUACAGAGACCAUCCCUGCACUUGAGAUAUCUGCAGUUCAUCAUUGAGCAAUGGCAGUAAGAUGUGAGUACAGGUCUGUUGAUCACUGAAGCCUUACCCACCUGGAGGAAGACUGGAAAUAUGAUCUGGAACCUCAACAGUAAAUGACCUGCUUUCCCUGCAUCAAGGGCACCUGGAAUCCAAAUUAAAAUGCAGAGGAAAGUAAAGCUCUUAUGUAAACUCUGCUUUUCACAUUUUUCCCCACUGAUUCUCCUUUGACCUGUGCUGGCCAGUAAUAUGGCCCAAGAGAGCACCAGUUUCCUGCAAGGUCACUAACCACCAGGCCCAGCUCCAAUUCCAGAGGGUUCUAGGGUGGCCAGCCACUGAGAAGUUUCCCUAGACUUUUAGUGCUAAAACGGGGAAAGCCCUUUACGAAGUGGGAUUGGUCUGCCUGUUCUCAGCCAAAUAGUCUUUGGCAGUAAUCUUUCCCAGUAAAAGCACAGAGUCGGAGUAGCAGAACCUCCUUUCCUAUGAUUCCUGCUUCACCAGCUGGAGCCUGGCUAAGACUCAGUGACUGGUGAGGAGUCUGGCUCCUCUCCUUUCUGCCUCCUCCCCUUCAGUACCUCGAAGCUCCCCACCUAAAGCUUCCUUUUUCCAUCUCUGUGCCCCUCUAAGUCUUGGUCACAACUGUCCCACUUUGGUUUACUAUUUCGGUCAUCGUGCCUCAUUAGUAUCUCGUUAUAAUGAGGAGAGCCACCUAAAGACCUUAUCUCCUUGCAGUAGGGAUAUAAGGCAGCACAGUCAGAUGCUCCCUAAGGUGGGCUGAUAUAUGUAUCUUCUCACAGUAACCCCUGUGUGACCAAUGGGGCCAAAAGUCCUCCUGGUUUGAAAGAGCUCCUUCCAGACCCACCUUGCUGUCUCACAGCUUCCUGAACCCACCCUUCCACAUGGACACAGAGAAAUACUUUGCUAUGUUCUACCAACAGAUGCUUACUGAGUAGAGAAAACACAGUGCACAUCUAUAUCAACUUCUCUCUAUCCAUUUCUUUCUCUCUUGCUGUAGCAAGUCUCUCAGAAGACGGCAGUAACAGAGACUUGUGGCCAGAGCAAGCUUUUGAUAGGACAAGUCGCAGCUCUUCAGUAAACAAGAAAAAGAAUCUUAAAGAAUAAUGAAAGUUGCUGGAGGGAAAAUGGUUUAGACAGGCUCAGAUUCCCAAGACUGCUUCGCCUGUUUGGAGGUGAAAACAUCAAAGGGACAAGAAAGAUGACUUUACAUGAAAAGAACUGAUAUUCUGAACUUCUUCUUUCAUGACAACUUGUGGCAUGCUCUUUCAGCCAUGCAUAAUACUUUGACAAGCUCGAUAACGUUCAAGUGGUUUAUGAUUAAAUUGCUGUACUUGAAAUAGUAAGAUUUUAUCUAUGUUCUGAGCUUAAUAACUCUUUGGUUAGUUAAAAUAUUUUCAUUCCUGAAACUUUAAAAACCUGAAUUAUUAUAAAAGAUACAAGAGGCAAAAAAAAAAAGAUUAAGUUUGCACUUUGGAGAAAUUGUUUCACAUCUCUGAUGGUUAAUAUUAUCAACUUCAUUGGAAUGAAAGACACAGAGUAUUGUUCCUGGGUAUGUCUGUGAGGGUGUUGCCGAAGGAGAUUAACAUUUGAGUCAGUGGACUAGGAGAGGCAGACUCACCCUCAAUCUAUGGGGGGGUACCAUCCAAUCAGCUGCCAGCACGGCUAGAAUAAAAGCAGGCAGAAGAACGUGGAAGGAUUGAAC
rnacentral:lncRNA from 13 species